AUUUCAGGCUGAAAACUACGAAUUCUCAAUUAAUGGCCCAACCUAUCGACAACGAAGCUGGCCUUCAAGAUGAAAAUAACAACUUAACACCCGGGGGUGAAAGGCCACUUAUCGAUCCUGUUGGAGCUCGGGUCAAGGAACCAAUAGACGUUAACUCACAUCUGGCCAUCGAGGCAAACCAAGGUUCCGACCCUGCAAAUAACAUUCAUGAUGGAACUCGAUCUGCAACUCGAAAUACCCAAAACGCUAAGGAAAACGGAAUCAACUUGCGUAUGAUUUUCGAAAUCAUUUGGGUUUAUAUGUAAAAGGAACUUUUCACUAUUUUUCUAAAAAAGAAUUAUUAUUUUAAAUGAUUGAAUCGUUUUAAUCACAUCUACAAUCACCUAGAAUAAGCAUUUGCAUGCGAUUCUCAAUGUUUUAUCCUUUAUAUUAAGGGUGUAUGAUUCGCCUGGAGUGUAUUCCAUUUAUUAAACAGGUUCAUUUUGCUCCGCACAAAUUUAACAUAUUUAAAGUUGACUUAAUUUGUAAUCCAAAUUGGAAAAUUAUUUAAAUUGUUUUUUUGUUUGUUUGCUAGGUUGUACUAUAUAAUAAUGGGAUAUCAAUUGGGUGGGCUCACUUGUCAAUUUUCCAUAAACCCCAGCCCAAAAACAUAAGACGGAUAUGCUCCGCAUAUUCCUUGUUCGUCUCUGUCAAGUUCCCAAUGAGUUCACUGUGCAUUUGUGCUUGCCUCUCCAUAUGGAGAAUUCACGGGUCGAUUUCUGCUUUCACGGGUCGAUAUCUGCUUCUGCUUGCCGUUGGAUGAAUAUGUUCUCCUCUAUAUAUUCAAUGCCAAUGGAGGAAAACAAAUCAUCCAAGAAGAAUAGAAAGUGUUUGAUAAUAACUUGUUGUAAUUCUUCUUGGCUAUAUAGCCAAGAUUAAUUACAAUAAGCUACUAAUCAAACACUGAAGAAAAUAUCUCAUUGCAUCAGUUUUGUAUACUCUUUUUGCCUUGGUGCUUGUUUCUUUCAAAUUAAGAUAGUAUUUUGUACAGUACAAGGACAAAAUUUGCAUAUUUUCUAUAUAUCUCCUGAUCUGUUUUCGAAACCCUAGACAGAGUUUUACAAGAGAGCUUUGAGUUUAGAAGAUGUACUCCUGUUAGUCUUGACUUUGAAAUGCCGGAAAAGGGGACAGCACCAUUUAUAUAUGCUCGCCAAAGCCAUCAGAGAAUCCGCAUUGUACGGAUUGUGACAACUACUGACAAUCAACGAAUUGUAGGGUUGCUUAUCCCGGAUGCAGCAGUAGAACCAGUGCUUCAAGGAAGGGACAUAAAGGAAGAAGUACUAUUUUCUUGUUGCAAUGCCAAAUUUAUGCUAGACGAAGAGGAGCAUUUCAAGGAGCAAUUGUUUGAGCGUCUUCGCCUUUUCGGAGAGCACAACAAAGAACAGGAUUUUGCCUUGUGAUUGAGCGCAAGUUCUUGGAUAAAUUCCCUAAUAUUACCAAGCGACCCGCUGUAGCUCUUGUUUCAACAAAUUGCCUGUGGAUCACGUAAGGGGCGCUCAUCUUUAAAUAAUUGAGACACUAAUUACUCCAUAUUCCUGUCUGAUGAAAGGCAGAGUCUUCAAUAUGCAAGCUUUAAUCACCCAGUCCAUGCUGGAGUGCUAUUAAAGUCAAGGGCAUACGAGAUAAUUUGCUAACGACAAGUGUAUAAAUAACCCCAAUAUAACAGAUAGUAAAAUUAAGAUAUUUUGUAUAGUACAAGGACAAAAUUUGCAUAUUUUCAACCUGCAGUUGAGGCUAGACAGAGUUUUAUAAGAGAGCUUUGAGGCUGACAGUUUAGAAGAUGUACUCCUGUUAGUCUUGAGUUUGAAAAGCCAGAAAAGUGGACAACACCAUAUCCCAAGUAUGAAUCGGGUUGGUGGGAGCCUUUCUUGCCACCUGGAUCUCAAACAUCAAAGGUAUGAUUGUCGGACGUCUUCCUCAGUUCUGCCAUAUCAUCCGUGUUGCUUGAAGUAGGUCAAGCCUAGCAGUAGUGUUUGUUGGUCUGGCAAUGGAUAUUUAGUUUGAGAAGUUACGCGAAGAGAUGAUGGGGGGAAACACGACUGUAGACUGUAGGUGAAGAUGUUUGUAGCUCAUCUGAAGAAUUGUACGACAAAUGCCUAUAUGAGAUUCAGGAAAUAAAUGAAGAAUAUUGAGCAUUGUGCUUAGCACGAAUUUAAAAAAAAAGAAGCAUUGUGGGCAUAAAUGUAAUAGAGAAGAGACUUGACUCCAAAUAGAGCAAAAGAAGCUUGUGAAUCUUGAAACCAAUGUCAAAGAAAAAUAACUUCUUGUUAUGUGGAUUGUUUGUGUGGAAUGAGGAGAAGAGAAGCAAGAACUCUUUUUUAUGACUUGGAAGUGAAAUCUCUGGCUCUGAAUGUAGCUUCUGUGAAUCGAAGAAUAUAACGGAAGAAAAUGGCCUAGGGACAGGUAUCGAUAAAAUUCGUCUACGUAGUUUAUUAGAAAGGUGAAUGACACCUGUGGAAGAUUGAGAUCGAAGGAUGAUCAAUUGAGAAACCAAAUCAUCCGAGUUUAAGGAAUGAUUUUUGGGUCCGAGGAGCAAAAGGACAGUGAAGAACAAAAAGGAUGUUGUAUUGUAUGAGAUAGCCGUUGUACCUGUGUUAAUUCUGAAUGUUCUGUUUCAUAUCAUCAGCAGAACUUUUGUACUGCUGAUUGCUGAAAAUUUUACCCAUACUUGGAGUCCACAUGGUGUGUUCCUAACAAACUGAAAUCUCCAUUGGCACCUAAAUUAUGAUGUUAAUGACAGUCUUUGCAUAGAGAAUGCUCCAACAGAAUCGAAUGAAGGAAGAUACUAAAGUUCCUAUGAUGGCUGAAAGUGAAAAUAAGGAGACAAAGAAACUUUGGAUUUGUCUAGUCCUUUAUACAUGCAUCCGCCAGAGAACGCCGGAACAAUGCUGAUGUCGAUGGCUUUCGACGACACCAGUUAUAGAUCCUGGAGGAGAGGAGUACUUAGGGCGUUAUUUGUGAAGAACAAGGUCGGAUUCAUCACAAGAAAGGUUAAGAAGCCAGAUGUGGGUCACACCACUUUUGAUCAAUAGGAACGAUGCGACGAUAUGGUCACUUCGUGGAUUCUCAACUCACUGUCGAAAGAUUUGGCUGAUAGUCUGCAAUAUGUUAGGGAUGCGAAGGAAUUAUGGCAGGAAUUGGAAGAUAGAUAUGACCAAACCAACGGUGCUAAGUUGUAUCAGCUUCAGAAGGUAAUCGGCGAUUUAAGCCAAGGAACUUUGGACAUCACUGGCUACUAUACCAAAAUGAAGAAGCUUUGGGAAGAACUUAAUACCCUAAAUGCACACGCUCAAUGCAAUUGUACCUGUACCUGUGGAGCUAAGACAAACAUGCACAAGACAGAACAGGAUAGGCGAUUAAUUCAGUUCCUAAUGGGGUUGAAUAAGGUAUACACUGGUGAGAGGCAGUAUUUUGAUGAUGAGUCCACUACCUAGCAUUGCACAAGCAUUUGCCAUGCUCAUUCAAGAGAAAAAACAAAGGGAAGUUAAGCCACACAAUCAAUUUGUGAUGGAAUCUGCAUCUCUUAAUGCAAGUGCUGGAAACAACAAUUUAAAGACCAAUUAUAGUACAAAUGGAUACAAUGCUGGGAACAAUGCAAAUAGAGGAGGAUAUUCGUCGAACACGCAUCGUCUGUUUUGUGAGUAUUGUAAGAAGCCAGGACACAGUAAAGAUAAGUGUUUCAAACUGCACGGGUACCCUCAGCACCGUGCAGACUUUUACUGGAAGUAUUGUAGAACGUGCUGGUGCCUUUGAUAUCAAGCUAAGUGUUGAUCGUGGCUCAAGAUUCAAAAUGCAAAGGAGGAAAUAGAUGACAUUCUUAGCACUUGAAAGUCAAGUGUGUAGUGAUCUUCAGUGUUUUUUCUCGUAGAUGAAAACAAAUGUCUAUUUCGGUUGACUACUUGAUUUUGGAUAUUCUAGGAUUCUCUUAUUGGGAAAUGCCGAUGUCGUAUUUUUUCAAGUUCAAUUGACACCUUCAACAAAUUAACAAAAUCAGUAGAAAUGGUUAGUUUUAUACACCAACAAUAGAUAAUUAUAUAUAUGUAUAUAUAUAUAUAUAUAUUUGCUUACUAAAAUAAAAAAAAAUAAUCCCCACAUAAAAUAAGUUAUACAAUGUUUUGUUGAUUUUUUCGUUGUUUUACAUAAAACAUAGCAUUGCUAAUAUAAUAUAAUAUAUUUUUCCCGCAUAACUAAUACAUGUAUGAAUUACGAGCAUUUAUCAUGAUGGGAAAUGACUUCAUUGGUAGUUAGCUGGAGUGUUUCUGAAAUUCCUUUUUAGUAAUGGUCUUUGUGGAUUAAAAUUGUGUUUGUGGUCAAUCGAGCCGUGAUAUGUGGCUCAGAUGCUCGUGCAUAUAUAAAAUACUAGUUAGUUUCUGUUCUCGUUCAUGCGUUCUUGAAUCUUGAUGGGUUGGUUGUUCAUCUGACGUCAUCAUUCGUUAACAUCCUGUUGAUAUGUGGAUUUGAGGAGGAGCUCAAUACUCCUUGGUUGCGCAAAUGAAGGGAGACAAUACCACAGGAAUGUGGAUCUCAUUGAUGAUUCUAUCAACCUAGGCAGGGACUCAAGAAAAUCAAUCAGAAUCAAAGUAAAAAGGAAAGUAUCAAUUAAAGUUUGACUAAAGCAAUCAAGGAAUCAGCAAAACAAUAAAGGUCCGGAAAUAGAUAAUCAAUCAAAGCUGAAGGAAGAUAUCAAUCAGAAGAUGAUUGAAGCUAUCAACAAUAAAAAGAAAAGAAGUACUAAAGGUUCGGCAAAGGCAUAGCCAACACUAGAAAUCCGUCGGAUACCAAGGCUUAAAGAUGGAAAGCUAUCAAAGUCCACUUAUCAAGGAAGUAUCAAGAGAAUCUACCUUAUUCUUGGAAAGAAUCAAUCUGUGAUUCCUUUCAAGGAUCAAAUCUCUUGGAUUCGCAUAUCUCUCCAGACUCUAAGGCCUCCUGGAAAGUAUAUAUACGAUAGUUUCAGACUUACAGAGAUAUACUUUGAUCAAACCAUUUACUCUCUCUUUGUUCUACUUCAAACAAACAUUGUA